rnacentral:rRNA from 1 species
CCUACGGGAGGCUGCAGUGAGGAAUAUUGGUCAAUGGACGAGAGUCUGAACCAGCCAAGUCGCGUGAAGGAUGACUGCCCUAUGGGUUGUAAACUUCUUUUAUCUGGGAAUAAAAUGUUCCACGUGUGGGAUUUUGUAUGUACCAUAUGAAUAAGGAUCGGCUAACUCCGUGCCAGCAGCCGCGGUAAUACGGAGGAUCCGAGCGUUAUCCGGAUUUAUUGGGUUUAAAGGGAGCGUAGGUGGAUUGUUAAGUCAGUUGUGAAAGUUUGCGGCUCAACCGUAAAAUUGCAGUUGAAACUGGAAGUCUUGAGUACAGAAGAGGUGGGCGGAAUUCGUGGUGUAGCGGUGAAAUGCUUAGAUAUCAUGAAGAACUCCGAUGGCGAAGGCAGGUCACUGGACUGCAACUGACACUGAGGCUCGAAAGUGUGGGUAUCAAACAGGAUUAGAUACCCGAGUAGUC